rnacentral:rRNA from 1 species
UGCAACCCGACUCCAUGAAGCUGGAUUCGCUAGUAAUCGCGCAUCAGCCACGGCGCGGUGAAUACGUUCCCGGGCCUUGUACACACCGCCCGUCAAGCCAUGGAAGCCGGGGGUGCCUGAAGUGCGCUGCCGCAAGGAGCGCCCUAGGGUAAAACCGGUGACUGGGGCUAAGUCGUAACAAGGUACC